UGUCUUGCCAGUACCUUCCUUAGCCUAUUUCACAAGAAACUGAACAAAGCAUACAGUAGCUCUUCAUAGAGGGCUGUUUUGAAUAUGUCAAUGAAAUGUAAGGUGUGUUGCUUUGUCUUCAUGUUCUUAUGAAUAUGUUUCUUAACAUCAAGCCAAAGAAGACCCAGUAAAGAGUCUCGAAUUCUUUAAAGAAUGAAAUCAAGAACCAAACCAUAUGGAAAAGAGAUUCAGGAAGAUAAUGUGGAAUUGGGUCUGAAAGGCAGAUGUUCAGAAAAUAAGCAACAAGAGAAUAGGAAGGAAAUGGAGUUCUGCAGGACCAGGAUACUGAAUUAGAAGCAGCACCACCCAAUGCCCUGGCUUGAAGCAAUAGUUAAGUUGUAUAAGUCCUAAUCAUCAAGGAAGAGAGAUGAAGCAGUUGAAGAGGAGUAAGAUUUGAAAGAUUUCCACGGAUAAUUGAAAUGAGAUGGAGAGUGGUGGAUUGGUAGAUUAGGGUGAUCAAGACAACGAUUGUUUAGGAAAGAAAGGAUGCAAGAAUUUCCAAGCUUUUUGAAUUUUGGCAAGAUAGGGGAAGGCACAGUGAGGAGAGCACUACUGCUAGAUGAAAUAGACAAGACCGUGGAAGAAGAGAGUAUUGUUUGAAAAACCAUCAAUGGGGCUCUAAUGCCAACCCAUUCACCUUGGCUGAUUUGAUUACCACUCACAUUCAUCACAUUUUCCCGCACAUUUCCAAAACUCUCUCAGAAGAUCUCAAUUUCCUCAGCAGGGUGUGGUAGCAAAUUGAGAUACACAGGCCUUUUGUUAUGAAAAAUGGGGUCUUACUCUCUCA